UUUCAAUUGUCUCAGGCUUUCAGCGUUCGCUCGUCAAUUACAGAACAAAGGAGGAUAUGAUUUUGCGUCGUAAGAGGUUUUUGCUGUUCGUUUCGAGCAGCGGCUGCGGUCUUGCGUCCCGUCAGGCCAUGAAAGAACAAAGGAGGAUAUCAUUUUGCGUCG